CAAUAGCGUAUAUUAAAGUUGUUGCAGUUAAAAAGCUCGUAGUUGGAUUUCUGGUGAGAUGGAUUAUGUCUAGGUCGAAAGAUCUUGUUCAUGGUUCGUUUUGCCCUUCUUGUCAGGAACCCGCUGAGAUUCGCGUCUUGUCGGUGGAAUGGCAUCGUUUACUGUGAAAAAAUUAGAGUGUUCAAAGCAGGCAUCGCCGUUGAAUACAUUAGCAUGGAAUAAUAAGAUAAGACUUUGGUGGUCUAUUUUGUUGGUUUGCACGCCAAAGUAAUGAUUAAUAGGGAUAGUUGGAGGUAUUCGUAUUCUAUUGCUAGAGGUGAAAUUCUUAAAUUUAUGGAAGACGAACUACUGCGAAAGCAUUUACCAAGGAUGUUUUCAUUAA
rnacentral:rRNA from 1 species